UCUCCCAAACGCUGCAGAAGGCAAAACGAUAUCGGUUGUACGGCCUUUGAUGGCGGAUGCCGACGGUUUUUCAUACUGGAUCCCGAUUGUGAAUGUUAACAAACCGUCCUGCUGCUGACGAUAAUGUUUACCGUAAUCGUGGGGAUCCCGGCAUUAAGCAGCAUCCUGAAGAGUUGCAGAGCACAAAACCACCUACCGAAAAGUCAAAUGCAUCGCAAUGGAAAUGGUGUGUUGCAGCCGACGAUGCUUACCAGAGCCCUUGUCUGGGAUAGUUAUGCCAGCAUGAAACUGUCUCCAGAACGUAUGCACAGGUGAGCGUGAUGAAACACCAUUCGAAUAGACCUUUGCCUUUGCUGGUGGUAAUGUCGGGUAAGUUAUCUGUUGAU